rnacentral:lncRNA from 1 species
UAAUUGCAUGCUUAUAGAUGUUGCUUAAAUGAACAUGUUUUCACAAAAUUUUCCUUCACAACAAACAAAAGAACGUGGCUCAAUAUCAACUCAACUCAUUGAUGAAUUUAGUAGCGACUGUAAAACCAAAUUAACAUUGGUAGUCAUCAAUUCGUGAUCCCAUAAUUCUCAUGUGCAUACGCAUUUCAUUACUUUGCAUAUCCUUGCCUCUUCAGGGGCUUUACAUUGUCUCUUCUAGGACAAUCAUCUCUUAUUAGAUGAAUUGUUUGGAGAAUUUGGAUCAUAACCUCCUCUAGAGCAUUAUAGAGCCUGGAUUUUUAAUCUCCACUUCUAGGGAGUUGAAUCAUUGGAACAUAUACAUCCAUCAUGAUUCAGGCAUGAGAUAUAUUAAAAUUGCCAUGUCCAUGGAUUAUCUUUUUGGAACUUGAAUCCAUGUGGAGACUGUCAUGCUUCGGGCAUGCAAUAGUUUUGUAGUGCCAAGUCCAUGGGUAGUCUUAUUGAAACUUCAAUCCAUGCGACAUCUUUGUAACUUGUAGCAAUUUUCAAAAUUUGGUUUACCUUUUCAUACAUUAUGUGAAUGAUAUAAACUGGCAGAGUUUGUUGGGGCUAUGAGUAGGAUUCCCAUCAUUGAAUUUUGAUAUUCCACUCACUUGGUCAGCCACUCAUUCUUUCUCUUGCAUAAUCGCACUGGUGCACAACCUUUGCCUUUGAAUGAUCUUUCAAAACCAUCACUUCUCAUUGACUCAUCCAUGGUUGAUAGCUUCAAUGUAAAGAGCCAACAAUGUGCCAACUGUUCUACGACGUUAGUGACUUGAAACCCGGCUCUAAGAACAGUUGAAGAUGAUUACUAGAAAGCAAUGCCAAGUACGCAAUAUGGAAAAGGUUCUAGGAAAUCGGUUCCAGACCGGAAGUUUGAUUUCAGGUUUUGACUGAUCUCUCUCUUUCUCAUUAUCUUGCAGGUAAAAGCAAGGGCAAAGGAAAAGACAGGGAAAAAACAUUAUAUGAGAUACUUUUGCUCUCGACCCUGAAGAUAUGAGAUACUUUUACACUUGAAGAAACCGGUAGAGGAUUUUGAAGUUGAUGUAAAACUUCUCUAUCACAAAUGUUUUCUUACAAAGGAAAUGAGUUGGGUAUUUUGAGCGACUUAGUUGGAGAAAUAUUCUUCAAGAGGAUGAAAAGCUGAGUAUUUUGAGAGGCUUGGUUGAAGAUGCAUUCUCAUGAAGGAGGAAGAGUUAGGCAUUUAUGAAGCUUUGACUUGCUAUGGAGGAUGGAGAUCGACAUAUAUAGGGAUUUCCCAAUAAUAGGUAGUGGUGUUGUUGAGACCAUCUCCUUCAUUCUUGUCGAUAAUAGUGGUCCAGUUGGAACAGUAAAAUUUAUGGGUUUCAACUUUGUCAUACACAUUUUGAUAGGGUUAUCCUAUCUAAAAAGCUAAGAUUGCGUCUGAGAAGUGCCAAUGAAAUUAAUUCAAGAAAAUCCAACUUUUGAAAUUCAAGGAGCGGUUUUUCUUUGAUUUUUGAACAAGUGGCCCUGUUGCCUUUUCUUUUAUAGAGGCAUCAAUUGUAUUCAAAUACACACUCAGAAAGUUGCCAGCCUAUGAAAAUUGCUUUUGUUGUAUUUUGUGAGAUUUCAAUUCCUCAAACCUCCUUUUCUUUCAUCAUUUAUGAAAAUGGCUUGCCCAUCUAACCGUUGUUUCAAUUUGAAUGUUGUUGGAAGAUGCAUACAUGUCUCUUGAAGAAAAUAUAUGGCGCAUGUUGAGCAAAAAUUGUUACGAGAACAAGUAAUUUACUCGACACAGUUUCACCCUCAUUCGUUUUUUCAAAGAGGGUUUUAUUAAUGUUGAGUUCGAAACAUUCUAGGCUAUGUGGCUAUUAAUUACAAGCCUUCCUUUCGAAAAGGAAUACCCUUUGAUUCUAAUAUGAAAAAAUAUGAAAUUUGAGGAUUGAUGUGUUUGUUUGAUUUUGCAACUGCAUCUAGGUCGAGCCCUAGAUUGCUUACGUACCCUUUUAAGGGAUCAAGUCACUCGUAGUUCAUGAUUUGGUAUUUAUAUUUUUAGUGAGUGAGUGACCCACUAAAAAAGAUUUUGAGUUUGAUCUAUUUUAAUGAAUUUGGCUAAAUGAACCAAGGAUUCAAUUUGAUAUUUCGGUUUUGCGGUUGUGUCUAGAAUGUGAAACUAGACCACCUACGGAACCUCGACGGAAUCAAACCGGCGUAGUUCGGAAUAUAUUGUGCAGCUUCGUGCCAUUUGAGAUUUGAUGUGGCUUCGUGCCAUUUGAAAUUUGAUGCAGCUUCGUGCCAUUUGCGGUUUUGAUGUAAAUUUUGUAGCUAGUUACUUUCGCGAAUUUGAUGUUGAUGACGUUGUUUCCAUGACUUUUAUCUUUGGACAACUCGAGUGUAGCAUGCCUUCGUCAUGUCAUUUUGUCCCUGGACUAAUUUAACUUAUGGGGCCCAUGUUUAUCAGGCCCACCUUAAUUUAAGUUGAGCCUGCAACUUUUCUUUGGUCUCCACAUGGUUAGUUACAUUCCCACUUAAUUUGGAACUUUAUUUGCAGCAAAACCUCCUAUCUUUGCAGGAUUUAUCCCAUGCUGGCCGAUUAAUAAGGAAAUUAAUUAUCUCUAUUUUGCUGGUCAAAUGUCCCCAAAAAUCUUAGAAUUUCCUUUAGGAGUCUUACUUGAAUAUCCUUUUUGGAUGUGAUCAUUGGUAGGAUUCUUUAUUUGAUUCGAACUCCUUUCUUUCUUAUCCAUUUUUUGCCCUUAAAAUGUGAAGUUCAUCAACACUUCCUUCACGCCACUUUUAGUUUGCUUGUUCCUCUCCAGAAAAGUGUAGUCUUUAAGGUAAGGUAGGUAUUGCUUCUUUCAUUCUUUCUUUGAUUUUGGAAUGAAUUGGCACUUCACGAGCAUCUUAUUUUCCUGAUUUGAUUUAUUGUAGGUACCCUUGACGUUGAAAUCUUGGAUGCGGAAGUUUGCGUAGUCCCUCGAAAAGCAUGGUGAGAUUUCUUUUCUUCUUCUGGUGUGAAAUUAACUAGCACUCAAAUUAAACCCUCUUUUUAUCAAUUGUAGCAAUGUAUGUAAGUAGGGAUCGUUCUAGACCGGGGAUUAGGAGGGAUUGCAAAAUCACUUGGAAUUGACUCAAAUACGUAAGAACAAGUUUAAAAUACUAAACUAGACUCAAAGAAUGCAAAACUAAACUCUAAAACACUAAAACAAACCAAAAGACUCAAAACAGCCCCAAAACACUCAAAACUGCCUUAAAAACACAAUCUGGGCAGUUUUGAACACUAGACACAAAAUUGGACGAAAAUUGGUUUUAACUUGACCUAAGACACUUAAAAACACAAACUAAACACUUACUAACUAAUUUUGACACUUUAAAACAAAGGGGGAUUGGUUUUGGACGAAUUUAAAAACAAAACAAACUUUGUAAAUUAGAACAGAUUGUAAAAACGAAUUUGAUUUAAAUGGGUGAAUGGAAGGCUAGCUAAGGGGUUCAUCUCCACACAUGUUAUACUUGCAUACAAAACGAUUUCCAAUUGCUUUUCAAUAAACCAUGAAUUCUCAAUGCCCCAAGUUAAUUAGGUCCGCUUAAAUUAACCUUCAGAUUUUCCUAACGUUAUUGAAUUGGAUGAUUGCAUACGACAACCCAAAGCAUUCCCCACAAGUCCCCUACAUGAUUGCAUAAUAGAAAUACAAGCAAGAAUCAUUAAGUUCUAUGAAAACCAUAAGCAUUGACGAAGCACUUGUUACUAUGAUUGCAUGAAACUUAUGCCAAGAAUUUACUUAACGCGAUUGAGAUCAUCAACCUUUACUACUUGUGAAUAUAAUUCCAUAACGAUUAGGUGAAAUUUCCUUAUAUCCUAGCAUUCAAUUUAUGCAUGAUAAUUAAGCGUGCACUCUCAACCAACACACACAAAUCAAUGUAAUUCACAUAGAUAAGUAAAUUGAAUUCACAACUUAUGAAACGCAAUUAGAAGUAAUCAAAUCAUAACGCAAGCAUAAACAUGUAUUUCGAAUCCCCCCCUAGCCAAGGGGGGGUUUAGUUCCUCAUACACACAAAACAAAGAGAAUUGAAUUUAAACAUUGAAAUCAAAGGAAAAGAAACACCUAGAAAUUCCAACGACGCGAACUUGAAUUGCAUGAACUUCCGAGCUUCCUUCUCCUCCUCCUUGGUGCGGCAAAGGGUCUAGGGACAGGUUUAUGGCCUUAGGUGUAUGGAUGCAUGGUUAUGGAUGGAUGUAGUAGUGUUUAGGGGAUGGGGAUGGUGCGGCAAAGGUUAAAACUAGGGAGAAAGGUGUUUGAUGGCUGCGGCAAAGGUGUGGAGAGGGUUGGACGAAUUUCUGAAGUGAAUUGUGAAUUGUGGUGAGUGGUGAUCUGAUUUAGGGGUUAAUAUGAGUAUAUAUAGGCACUUAAAACCCUAGGGUAAUCAGAUAUGGACUUGGAUAACCCAAAUCCACAAGGAAAUAGGUCUAAACAAUCAGAUUUUGCAAGGAAAAAGGGAUAAGGGUGCGGCAGCAAUGGGAUAAGGUGAUAAGGUUUCUAGAAUGGCUUGCAAGGCAAGGAAUUAGGGUAUCUAGAAGCUAGGGUGCGGCACCAAAGUAGGGAUUAAGGAUAGGGCUUCUAGAAAGCCCCAAAACUGAUAGGAAUUGAAUGAAACCCACGGCAAGGAUGGAAACUUUCUAGAAACUUCUCAUUUGUGUCCUACAACACUUAGGAGUCCUUCUAGCAUUAGGAAAACAUGUCUCAAUCCUCUCUUGACUUGGAAUUCUUCUCCUACUUCAUCUUGGAAACCUUUCCUUCUUGGACUUGGAAAUCUUCUUUGUAGCUGCAACUUGAUGCCAUUUGGAUUUAACUUUCCUACUUCGAAUAGGAAACCUUGUUUGAGUAGGAAUCUUCAUUCUUCUAGGAAUCCAUCUUCAACUAGGAAUCCCUCGUAGAUUAGGAAUCCUUCGUUGAUUAGGAUUUCAUCUUUUAAUUAGGCGCUUUCCUACUUCGACUAGGAAACCUUUUUCAAGUAGGAAACAUCAUCUUCAAAUCUUCAAUUUCGUCCAUCCUCUUGGCUCCAAGCAUAUGAUGUCCAUUCCAAGCUCUAAAUUGCUCCAAAAGGCUCCAAAAUGCAUCCUUUUGCAUACUUUGCCCUUAGAACCUGAAAACACAUAAAACUAGCUUAAAAGACUACUUUACUAAAGAAAAACACUAUAAAUGCACAAGAACAAGCUAAACUAAGGCGCAUAAAUAUGCUCCUAUCAUCUUCCUUCCUGAUUUAUUUUUUCCUUUGCUUUUCUUCUAUCUUUUUCUUUCUUUUAUCUUGCUUGUAGUGCUUGGGCAUUAGUCCCUCCCAAUAGCCUCUCUGCUUUAUUUGAAAAUGCAUGUUCACCCUCAUGCGGAGUGAUUUGGCGACCAAGAGUAUUCCUACAUUGCCAUGCUUUUUUUGGCUUAUGGUAGUCUGCAUAGAUCAAAACGAAAGCUGAGCACAGGGUUGAAGGAUGG